GUCUAGAGGCUUCGGCAAUGGACGAAAGUCUGACCGAGCGACGCCGCGUGUGGGAUUGAAGGCCUUCGGGUCGUAAACCACUGUCGGAAGGGAAGAAUGCCCGUAUGGCGAAUACGGGAGUGACGGUACCUUCAGAGGAAGCCCCGGCUAACUCCGUGCCAGCAGCCGCGGUAAUACGGAGGGGGCAAGCGUUAUUCGGAUUUACUGGGCGUAAAGGGUGCGUAGGCGGUCGCGCAAGUCUGAUGUGAAAUCUUCACCACUCAACGGGAAGAGGUCAUUGGAAACUGCGCGACUUGAGUUUGGUAGAGGCUAGCGGAAUUCCUGGUGUAGCGGUGGAAUGUGUAGAUAUCAGGAAGAACACCUGUGGCGAAGGCGGCUAGCUGGGCCAAUACUGACGCUGAGGCACGAAAGCGUGGGGAGCAAACGGGAUUAGAAACCCCAGUAGUCC
rnacentral:rRNA from 1 species